UUGACAUGUCUGGAAUCCUGUAGAGAUACGGGAGUGCUUCGGGAAUCAGAACACAGGUGCUGCAUGGAUCUGUCGUCGCUCGUGUCGUGAGAUGUUGGGUUAAGUGCCGCAACGAGCGCAACCCUUGUCCUUAGUUGCCAGCACGUAAUGGUGGGAACUCUAAGGAGACUGCCGGUGACAAACCGGAGGAAGGUGGGGAUGACGUCAAGUCAUCAUGGCCCUUACGGCCAGGGCUACACACGUACUACAAUGGUCGGUACAGAGGGUUGCAAUACCGCGAGUGGAGCCAAUCCCAGUAAAG
rnacentral:rRNA from 1 species